rnacentral:rRNA from 1 species
AGAUUGAACGCUGGCGGCAUGCCUUACAUAUGCAAGUCGAACGGCAGCACGGGAGCAAUCCUGGUGGCGAGUGGCGAACGGGUGAGUAAUACAUCGGAACGUGCCCAAUCGUGGGGGAUAACGCAGCGAAAGCUGUGCUAAUACCGCAUAAGAUCUACGGAUGAAAGCAGGGGAUCGCAAGACCUUGCGCGAAUGGAGCGGCCGAUGGGCAGAUUAGGUAGUUGGUGAGGUAAAGGCUCACCAAGCCUUCGAUCUGUAGCUGGUCUGAGAGGACGACCAGCCACGACUGGGACUGAGACACGGGCCCAGACUCUACGGGAGCAGCAGUGGGAAUAUGGACAAUGGGCGAAAGCCUGAUCCGAGCCAGUCGACCGCGUGUGUAGAAGAAGGUC